UCUUAGACUCAAGGAGAGAAAAGAAAAGAACCCUUCUAUUGGAAGCCCACUGGGCCUGACCACAGCUUCCCCACCCACUCUCUGGUCACAUGGGUCUUACCCUUAGUUGAGCUGUGCUGGGGUCCCUGCCAGCUGCUUGCCAGAGGUUCAGCUGAAACAAGGCUUCUCUGUGUCUCCCCAGCCUCCUAUUCCUCCAGGAUUUCUGAGGCUCACUGUUUUCCUGUGCCCCUCCCCACACUCAUGCUUUCUCCCAUUCAAUGCUCCCUGUUGCCAUUCCUCUUCCUUCCUCCCAUUCUCUCUCUGUCUCUCUCUGUCUCUCUUUCUGUCUCUCUCUGUCUCUGUCUCUGUCUCUGUCUCUCUCUCUCUGUCUUUCUUUUUCUCUUUCUCUCUUUCUGCUUCUGUGUGCGUGUCUCUCUCUCUCUCUCUCCCUUUCUCUCUCCUCUCCCUCUCCCUCUCUUUGUCCUUCUCAACAUUUCUUCCUUGUCCAGUCUGGCUCUGGCCCUAAGGCCCAGCUUCUCUCCCUGGCACUGACAUCCUCCCAGGGUCUCUGCCUCCUUCCACGGUCUGUCUUAGGAUGUGUGCCUGGCUGAUGGAAGCCCAGGUGUGGUGUGGCCCCGUGGCCGGCCGGAUCGCCUGCUGUCUAACGCUCUGCCCAUGUCCUGUGAAGAGAGCUUCUGGAAACAAGUGAAGAUUUCUAGAAAUCCCUUCUAUCAAUUUUCCCGUGGGUGCUGAAAGACAGAAGAGCGAGCACAUGGUCAACUGGACCGCAACGGACAACGCAGUCUCCAGUUCACCUCAGCUUUCACUGAAUGUUGAAAACGCCCUCUAACAGUGAAAGCUAAGUAUGGGGCAGGCUAGCGAUCUCAUCCCUCCAGAAGUUGAAGAAGGGGGUUCCGAGUUUGAGACCAACCUCGGCAACACAAUGAGAGUCUGUCUGAAAACGAAUUAAGUUUUUAAAUAAUGGACUUGUACACACCUUCAAUCCCAGCACUGGAGAGGCAGAGGCAGAAGGAUCCCUGUGAGUUUGAUGCCAUCCUGUCUACAUAGUGAGUUCCAGGACCACCAGGAUAACCUGUCUCAAAACAAACAAAAAUGGAUUUGUUAUGCAAAUCCUUUGCAGCCCUGCAAAGGAAUCUGUACACUUUUUGUAAAAGUGACAACGUGUGCUAGGGAAAGUGGUCGAGAUGCAUAAGAGCCCGUUCUUUUUUUUUUUUUUUUUUUUUGGUUCUUUUUUUCGGAGCUGGGGACUGAACCCAGGACCUUGCGCUUCCUAGGUAAGCGCUCUACCACUGAGCUAAAUCCCCAGCCCCAAGAGCCCAUUCUUAAAAAAAACGAUAUUGGCGUCAGCCCACCUGGGGGUGUAUGUCUGUGUGUGUGUAUAUGUGAGAUACAUAUAAGUUUCUGAGAUAUAAACAUUAGAUGCAUGUACACAUAAAUCUAUGUAGAUCAAGUAUGCACGUGUGCAGAUCUGAGUGCAUGUUUGUGUACUACACAGAAAAUGAGAAAACGCUCUGCUGUUAAAGACACCCAAAAUGGUGGAAACGGUUAUUACUGCCUAGGAGAAUUCCAGGCAUCACUUAUUUUAUUCUUUAUAGAUUCAUGGGUUGUCUGAAAAAUUUUAGAUGUGCAUAAAUUGCCUUCUCAAUUUUUUUUGUAGCAUCUGUAACUGACCUCAAGCUUACAGAGAUCUCCUUCUCCCCACCCCCAGUGCCAGGAUUAAAGUCAUUUAUUGCCACACCCAAUCUUGCACCUUUUUGGUUGUGAGCCUAGCCUUUAAUGGCUGAGCCAUCUCUCCAGCCCAUCUUGCACCUUUUUGAAGUAAGACAUUUUCGGCAUACAAAGCAUAUUGACAAUGAAAUGAACUAGCAUGAGACUGUCAACUAGCAUACAACACAGGUAGCUUUGGUUAAGAGAAGAAUUGUGCCAAUUAUUCCAACAAAUGCUGUUCCUUACACUUCCAACGAUAUGGAGAUGUGCAAAAUAUUCUCGACUUCACCAAGAUUUUUGUUGAAUUGCAAAAAAAAAAAAAAGAAUUCAAGUUCUUAAAAAUGUAUUGUGAGGAAAUCAGAACUAUAUUCUAUCUAUUUGGACGGGUCUUUGAUAUAAGCACAUAGGUUAUGAUCUGGGAGAUGGACAGAUUGGUAGAGUGCUCUCUGUGCACCGAGUUCAAGCCCUAGAACUGUACAGAAGAGUCAGGGGUGGUGGCUCUGGCCCUUGUGGUCUUAGCUCCAGGGAGGUAGAGACAUGUGGCCUGCCCUACUUGGUGAGUUACAGAGCAGUGACAGACUUGGUCUCAAAAAAGUCCCAGGUAAAUGGUUCCUGAGGAAUGAUGCUUGAAGUUGUUCUGUCUCCAUGUGUACAUGAACACACACAUGCACGUGCGCACACACACGUGUGCAUGUACACACACACACACACAUCACCACAAUUCAACAAACAGUAUUUCAUUUUAAUAAGUGGGGGCGGGGGAGACUAAUUAAGAAAUCACAGGAGCAAAAGCGUCUCUCUCUGAGAAUAAAUGACAGAGGAGAAUCCAUUCCUAACAAGGCGUUUAUAUCAUCCCUGCCAAGACUCAAGAAACAUUUCAGAAGAGGGGGCGGAAAGAAUGUAAAAGCCAAAUGCUAGGGAGAACGGCUGUGAAAUACAGAACACAGAGCCACUGUGGGUACCUGGAGGUCAGCACAAGAAAGGGCAGGCAGGCGUGGAUGGAGGAGGGGCUUGCGAGGCCCCGCCCCUCGCUGCUGAACUGUUUCCUAGGGAAAGAUUCGGGGUGAGGGGGAGUCCUUGCUUACCCAAGGAAGACCCAACCAGGCUCCCAUGGAUUGCUCCCAUCCACGGCUCACAGAAAUGACCCGGGUUAAAUGAAGCGGGUCACAACACAAAAUCAGAAAUCAUGACCUGGGAAAGGGAGGGGGCGGUGACGACAGGAAUGGAAGGGAGAUGAGAGGGUGUGGGGGGAGAAAGUCAUCAGAUUACAUUAUAGAGAAGCAUGACAUCGACAGAACACAAAUUUGAUAAGAAAUGACAAAAAGCGGCAAUCUGUAAGAAAAUGGGAUCGGAUCCUAGCCUCAUAGCACACAUACAAUUUAAACUCAAAUAGGAAAUAGCCCAAGGCAGGAACCGGAGGCAGGAGCGGAAGCAGAGACCAUGGAGGGAUGCUGCUUCCUGGCUUUGUUCCUUUGUGCUCAAGUACCUUUCUUACGCAGACGGGAUGCCUGUGGAUGGCACUGCCCUCAGCGGGCUGAACCUUCCCAUAUCAACUAACAGUUGAUAGGAUGCCUCAUUGGCCUGGCGACAGGCCAGCCUGAACUGGACAAUUCUUCAGCUGAGGUUCCCUCUUCCAGAUGACUUGAGGGUCGCGUCACGUGGACAGUUGGGGCUAACUAUGACAUGCAUCCAUUUCUUUGCUUAUGUUUUCUUUGUAAUCAUUCAUUGCUAGCAGACUUCCUUCAUGUCCUUGACAACAGCCUUAAAAUAUUUGCCUCUUAAUUCUAAGGUGUGGGUCACCUUGAGGUUCAGCUCCACUGAUAACCGUUCCUAUUGCAUAUGAAUUACAUUAUCUCAUAUCGUCAUACAUCUAAUAGCUUUGGAAUGUGAGUUGGUCACCGUCCCUUAUUGGUACUAUAUUGUUUUGGGGAGGGAAUGUACUACAUAAAACUUAAUUUUGGAAAUUCA